rnacentral:lncRNA from 1 species
UUCGAUAAAACUUUUAUAAUACCAAAACUACCCUCACAAUCAGAGAUUUGAGUUUUCUUUCUCAAAUCCAACGCCUCUCAAAUGAGAGAUUUGUGGGUUUUCUUCUCAGCUUCUUUGUUUCUGCUCGUGUAGCUUUUUCGAUCUCCUUUUCUUCUUCCUCUCUCAUGAUUCUUCAAUCUCUUCUUCUCGUUCAAAAGACUGAUUAAUUGAUUGAUUUGUGUCGAAAUUGCAAGGUUAGUUUUUGUUUUUUUAGAUUUAUUAUGAACCAUUUUAUUGCUUUUGCUUUCAUUGAAACAAUUCUUAACCGAUUUGCUUAUAAUGCUUUUUUUUUUAAAAUAGUCAUUUCUUAUAAUGCUUUAAUUGGGGAUUUUAAAGCAACUUCUAAGGAAAUUGGAUUAUAGUUCAUGUUCUGAUUUUAUUGAUUUAUGAUUGGUGGUGGAUUGAAUUAAAUUUAGGGGUUCUGGUGAUUAAUUUGGGUUAGUCAAUUUGAUAGGGUGAGGCUCUCCCAUUACUUAAGCAUUCAUGAUGUAAUCUGUAAAGGAGAUAAUCUUUUCCAUAUUCUUCCUAAAGAGUACACAUUCAGAGUGAUCAUUGGGAAGAUGGGUUCAAGUCCUCAUUCUUACUCAUGUGUUCAUUUUUAGUCAUUUAUGUUCAAUAAUGCCAAUAAGAGAAAGUGGCUGAGUUUUGAAGAGUUUGCACUGUAAAUUAGACAUGGUUUUCAGAAUGGUUCUUGUGGAUAAUUGAAUACUUUGGGAUGGUGGUGGAAUAUUGAUAGACUGUAUAUUCAGCUAGAUUUAGAUCAUUCAUUAAUAAAGGUGCAUGGCUGCUAUCGACGUAACCUGGUCGACCCAUGAGUCUGAAGAAGAAGGCCUUCCUGACCUGAAAUAAACUUCAUGUUUGAGAAAACAGUCCAAAUACAUUCAUUUAGUACACAAAAAACACUUGAAUUGCGAGAAACAAAUUAAUUUUCACUUACCAUUUUUGUAUUCCUGGGAAAUUAAUUAUAUAUAUGUCAAAUAACUUAAAUAGUUAAAUAUGUAAGCUGAACCUUAAUUUGUACAAACCUGCUCAUGCUUAUGACUUCAGAGCCUCUAGAAACUGCUAUUUUGCAUAUAGCAGAAUCGACAAAACCAUUUCCUCCUAAAACUACAACCUACAAAGAAUAUAUGGCAAACCAAAAUGAUAGAUAGAGAUUAAUAAGCUUUUAAUACAUAUACCCACUCAGUUUUGACAUCGGGCGACAAUAUCAAUUGGAGGAGUUGUAAAUUUAUUUGUUUAUUCACUUCACCACAACUAUUUUGUUUCGUCCAAGGUGGAGAGGUGGAUCCCUUUAUUAAACAAGUAGCUUGCUUGUUUCUGUUGGAUUGGGGAUGGUGGGAGGGGAUGAAGCUACAGCUACACUUGUCUGGACACAUUGCGUAUAGUGCCUUGUUGGUACGCAAUGACAAAAAAAGAAAUAUUAGUUCACUUAAUAGUACUUUGAGAAUAUUUUCAUUACCUAAGCACUCUAUUCUGUUCAACUGGAGGUUUGUCAGAUGUAUAUGACUAAAACGUGUUUCAUUCUUGUUGUAAAAUUCACAGAUUGAUUCGGAUAUGGAAGAUCAUGCUUGAUUGCCAUCAUGCUUAGUGUGUAACAAAGAUUCAACCAUGGAUCAUGUCCGCAAAGAAUCGCAAAAGCAGGCUAUUAUUGCUCAACUUCAGCAUGAGAUUGAAUUCUUUGGGUCAAGCUUCAAAGAUUGGAAUGAUGCGCACAGAUCCUAUGUUGAAGCACUUGAUGGUUGGCAGCUGGUUGUGUCAAAUUACAAGACUACUAAACUUUGAGGAGUGGUAUAAUUAGUUUUGUUAAAAUCAUCUGUGAUGAGGUUGAGAUACAUAUUUGUCAAAAUUAUGCUUUGUGGGAAUCACAUUCUUAUUACAAAUGAGUAGGCUCUUUGGUUUUUUUUUUUUUUUUUAUAGACUCACCACAUAGAUCAAACAGGAAAUACCAGUAGCUCAUUAGAAAUUUGUAAAUCUUUUGAUAAAUAACAGCUGCUAAUUUCGUAUGUAUUAAGGCGUCUUUGCACAAUGCAUGGAUCUCUAUCUUUCGAUAUAUUAUGUCAGACUGAAUUUUCAGCUCAGAGACGCAU